rnacentral:rRNA from 1 species
UGGGGAAUAUUGCACAAUGGGCGGAAGCCUGAUGCAGCGACGCCGCGUGGGGGAUGACGGCCUUCGGGUUGUAAACUCCUUUCACCAUCGACGAAGGUUUUCUGACGGUAGAUGGAGAAGAAGCACCGGCUAACUACGUGCCAGCAGCCGCGGUAAUACGUAGGGUGCGAGCGUUGUCCGGAAUUACUGGGCGUAAAGAGCUCGUAGGUGGUUUGUCGCGUCGUCUGUGAAAUUCCGGGGCUUAACUCCGGGCGUGCAGGCGAUACGGGCAUAACUUGAGUACUGUAGGGGAGACUGGAAUUCCUGGUGUAGCGGUGAAAUGCGCAGAUAUCAGGAGGAACACCGGUGGCGAAGGCGGGUCUCUGGGCAGUAACUGACGCUGAGGAGCGAAAGCAUGGGUAGCGAACAGGAUUAGAUACCCUGGUAGUCCAUGCCGUAAACGGUGGGCGCUAGGCGUAGGGGUCUUCCACGACUUCUGUGCCGUAGCUAACGCAUUAAGCGCCCCGCCUGGGGAGUACGGCCGCAAGGCUAA